rnacentral:rRNA from 1 species
GCACAAGCGGUGGAUGAUGUGGAUUAAUUCGAUGCAACGCGAAAAACCUUACCCACCUUUGACAUGUACGGAACCCUUUAGAGAUAGAGGGGUGCUCGAAAGAGAGCCGUAACACAGGUGCUGCAUGGCUGUCGUCAGCUCGUGUCGUGAGAUGUUGGGUUAAGUCCCGCAACGAGCGCAACCCUUGUCAUUAGUUGCUACAUUCAGUUGGGCACUCUAAUGAGACUGCCGGUGACAAGCCGGAGGAAGGUGGGGAUGACGUCAAGUCCUCAUGGCCCUUAUAGGUGGGGCUACACACGUCAUACAAUGGCUGGUACAAAGGGUUGCCAACCCGCGAGGGGGAGCCAAUCCCAUAAAGCCAGUCGUAGUCCGGAUCGUAGUCUGCAACUCGACUACGUGAAGUCGGAAUCGCUAGUAAUCGUGGAUCAGAAUGUCACGGUGAAUACGUUCCCGGGUCUU